rnacentral:rRNA from 1 species
CAUCGAUGAAGAACGCAGCGAAAUGCGAUACGUAGUGUGAAUUGCAGAAUUCCGCGAAUCAUCGAGUCUUUGAACGCAAGUUGCGCCCGAGGCUUGUCCGAGGGCAUUUCCGCUAGAGCGUCACCGCGCCCCCCACCGAUCCGCUCCCGCCGCGAGGCGCGUGUCGUGUCGAGUGGAAGUGGCCGUCCCUGCGAAGCGGCCUUCUUUCACGAGGAGGCCGCCCUUGUCCAAGGGUCGGCUGAAAUGGAUGGAAUCGGGCCGCCGUGGUGACACAGUCCGCGAUCGGGUGAUUUCGUCGCGAGCCUCCUCCGUGAGGCUCUCGUUGAAUUUUUCUAAGUGCUUGGCUGCGUCCCCCAGUUGGCUCGGGUUACCUCAUGCAGGUCGAGCGCGCCCCCGCGGCGCGCGUCACGCAUCAGACCUCUAAUCGGAAAAGACUACCCGCUGAGUUUAAGCAUAUCAAUAAGCG